CGCAUUACGGAAGGAGUGCAGUGCUCACGUGACAUGCGACUCACGUUACUAGGGCAUGGAGUCGCAGAAUAUGAAUAUGCUAACCAAAGGGAUGGCUGAUUGAGAAGACGGAAAGAAGCAGAGGCGGCCAGCCGGCGGGGCCCUGCCUCCUGCACGCGACUCCCUGAAUUCAGAACGGGAAGUGCCAGCUGAAGUGCCAGACAAUACUUCGGGAACCACAGCGCUGAUUAUAGCAAGUGACCCCUCUUUGGAUUCCUGGUAACCCACACUAUAACCCAGUGUAUUGGGUUUAGUGUGGGUGAUCAAGAGGAUCAGAAUCCUGACAUAGUGAGGAGCCAUCUGGGUAUCAAGUUCUGCUGGGUGAACAUUUAGCUGAAACAAGUCCUGGCGAUACCGUAGACGGAUACCGUAGUAAAGAUGGACCAUGAAACAACAUUCUAUAAGAUACCGUAGACGGAUACCGUAGUAAAGAUGGACCAUGAAACAACAUUCUAUAAGAUACCGUAGACGGAUAC